UUAAAACUCGCGCCGCUUCCCCCGAGCGCUCUCUCCCUCUCUCUCGUGUUUCGUUGCAGCUUCCUCCAUUGCCACAGCACGGGAGCUCUCUCUCUCUCUCUGAAGCUUCCCUUGAUCACUGAGAAUCGAUUCGAUCCCAACGGAUUCUGCUCGGAAUCUCUCGUCUCACAGCAGGAGAUUCACAUUCGAUUCUUCCAACUUGUCCUUUCUCUCACACUCUCUCCUCUCUUCUGGGAAUCAAGAAUCAUGAGAGCGAGAUUGGUGGUGUUCCCGGUCAAAGGGAGGAACUGGUGCUUCAGCAGGUCUGUCGACACGUCCUCCUCAGCUGCCGCCGACUCCGCCUCUGCUCACACUCCGUCUGGCCUGAGGGAGCUCUGUACUAAGAUUUCCAACAACUCCGAUCCCAAGCAAUCCAAUGCCGAGCUCCUCAUCGACUUCGUCUCCAAUAAGAUGAAUAGAGCUUGGAUGGGUUUGGAGAAGGCACCUGAGGGGACUUUCAAGAACAAGAUUCACGGGUUGGGGUUGCGGCUUUUGGCGCGGGUCAAACCAUCGGAAAUGUUCUUAAAAUCCAUAACUAAGGAGGUUUCAAGUGUUGAGAUCACCUACCCACCAAGCUUAAAUGCAAGGCUUGUACGCCGAAGGUUGCGACAUGUGGCCAAGAGGGGAACUAUUAUCCACAGGAAAUACUUCUACGGUUCGGUUUCUUUGCUUCCGCUGACAACUGCAUUUACUGUUUUACCUCUGCCUAACAUCCCAUUCUUUUGGAUUCUAUUCCGUACUUAUUCUCACUGGCGUGCUCUACAGGUGCUUAUGCUUUGCAAUGUUUUUCACUUGCCUAGGAGGAGCCGGGCAUCGCAUGUCAUGCAGGAAGCGAGAAGCUCCUUGAACUUGUGUCAGAUUCUUCUGCUGCGAAUGUAAAUGAAGGGGAACACGAGCAUGAUAAGCUUAAGGAUGCAAUCCCCGAUCGCUUUGUUUCAUCUACAUGGCCAUCAGAGCAACUCGAGGGACUAAUUCAGCAUGACGAUGGAGACGAUGGUCUUAGUAAAUCAACAAUAUCAACGAUCUGCAAGACUUUCAAUUUGAAUGCUAUUGAUGCCUUGAAGUACAGAAAUUCGAUGUAGCUACCGAUACGAUAUCCUUCUUCUUUUCCAACAACUCUGUAGAAAUUUGUUGGCAUUUUCAGAGAAAGAAAUGUGAUUGAAUUAGUUCACCUCUUUUCUUUACUUUUAAUGCGGACCUGAAGUCAUUCUGAAUCUGA